UACGUAGGGCGCAAGCGUUGUCCGGAAUUAUUGGGCGUAAAGAGCUCGUAGGCGGUGUGUCGCGUCGGCCGUGAAAACCUGCAGCUUAACUGUGGGCUUGCGGUCGAUACGGGCAUCACUGGAGUUCGGCAGGGGAGACUGGAAUUCCUGGUGUAGCGGUGAAAUGCGCAGAUAUCAGGAGGAACACCGGUGGCGAAGGCGGGUCUCUGGGCCGAUGACUGACGCUGAGGA
rnacentral:rRNA from 1 species